UUACUGCUGUGGGGACAAGGGUAUGCUUAUGUUUUUACAGCAGAUGGAUAAACCAUGUGGGUGCCCUCAAGGUGCGUGCAACCAUGGAAUGGAAGACUGGAGGAACCCAUGGUGGCCAACCAUGGGCCCGGUCCCUCUGGUAUGGGCCAUGAGCCAGCUGAGCCUGAGUGCAAAAAUGGACAGAAGGCCAACUGGAGUCAUGGUGACAUCAACCCCUAUAACCUGGGGGACACUCAAGAAAACCAUGCAGGAAGCUGAGAAACUACUGGAGCGUCAAGGCCAGAAAAAACCCCUGAUUCCAUGUUCUUGGCCAUGUUAGCUAUAAUGCCCUGUGUGGUAGGUUUUCCCUUGCAGAGUCAAAAACAUAUUGGGCAUAGGUUCCCAAUCCUCCAGCAGUACAACCUGUACUUUGGAGUGACACUCCUCCUGAGAUCUAUCGUGAUCAGGGAGCAUGGGCUCCAGGACCCCUAUGUCUGGCUCCCCCGGACAUAGAACAGUUAGACUCUCAGAACAAUGUCGUCAAUUAUACUACCCCACUGGAAGGACUCCCCUUGUGUAUCACUACAAAGAUGUCGCUCAACCAUAGCUGUCUUACAACUGAAGCUCAAGCAUGGUUGAGUCACCUUGGAAAAGUUAUGUACUUAAUAGUUCUUGGUUCUAUUUAUGUAACUGGUGUGCUAACCAACCAUGCCCGGCCCAAUUGCCCCAACUGUGCUGACUAUAUGGAAUGGAUUCCCUUCAAUAGUUCUGACCUCUCUCCAUUGACCCAGUGUCUUGGCCCACUGGGUAGAAAAGAAUCUGUGUUAACUGGAGACAUUGUGGAUUGGGGAACUAAAGGUCAACUAGAUGGAAAAGAGGAAAAUCAGAAAUCAUGACACAAACUUCACUGCCAUUGGUGGCAAGCUUUGAAUACUCCUUCUUUAUACCACACCGGGAUCCAAUCCCAGUCUGCCACCUGGAUUGCUUGGCAUGGAGCAGGCUUUAGCACACCUCUUCCUCAGUGGCAUUAUCUAGGGAGGAAAGGUCCAAUUCAAGAAACAAUAUGGAAAGCAGCACUGCUGUUCACAAACGGUAGUAUCCGGGUAGGAACACUCUCUAAUACCAGUACUGCUACUCAACACAGUCUUAAUGUCACAUUUGUAAAGAAUAUCACCACUCAACUUAUGGUUUGUGGUUUUAAUCCUUAUGUCUUUUUGGCAGCUAAGGCGGACCAGCUCCAGCCUGUAAAAUCAGAUGGAUUGCCAAUCAGAAAAUAAAGCUGCCCAACCUGGCCUUACAUUCAUUCAAUUAAUGCAAAAACAGAAAGGGAGAGAUGUUGGGAUCCAGAAGCCUGAGGAUUGUGACCAACACAGCAUUCCACUGGAAGCUAUAUGAUCAAAGAGCAAACUGUUUAUCAUGAAUGCAGAAUGUGGGCAAACUCACAUCUGCACCUGACACUGGAAGGUAUGCUAAGGGGAGCCACUCCCUGGUGCUGUGCUCCUUGAGAUUAUCUACUGGGACAUCUGGAGCCUACUGUUUAAAGAAUGCUGUCAUGCAGGCCUACACUAAGUCAAGCAGCUGACUGACAAUCAGCCCCUUCUCCCUAUCUCCUUUACUCAAUAAAUAUAAAGGGCUCUAGAACUCAGGGCCCUUGUUCACUAGAAGCAAGGAGCCCCCUGACCCCUUCUUCCAAAUAAACUUUUUUGUCUUUGUCUUUAUUCCCACAUUCAUCUUCCUUUAUUCAGGCCACCAGUGUACAUGGCAAAGUAAUCAAAAUACAGUAGUCAGUGAGCACCAACCAUGCAAUUGUGCUAGGUAAGGAGAUGGAAAAAAUAUUUUUGAGGUGGGAGAAACAUCCUAACAGAUAAAUUACAGCAGACAGACUUGACAGAUGGGGGUAACAG
rnacentral:lncRNA from 1 species